rnacentral:rRNA from 1 species
UACGUAGGGGGCAAGCGUUGUCCGGAUUUAUUGGGCGUAAAGAGCGUGUAGGCGGUCAGGUAGGUCGGUUGUGAAAACUCGAGGCUCAACCUCGAGACGUCGGCGGAAACCAUCUGGCUAGAGUCCGGAAGAGGAGAGUGGAAUUCCUGGUGUAGCGGUGAAAUGCGCAGAUAUCAGGAAGAACACCCGUGGCGAAGGCGGCUCUCUGGGACGGUACUGACGCUGAGACGCGAAAGCGUGGGGAGCGAACAGG